rnacentral:rRNA from 1 species
AGAGUUUGAUCAUGGCUCAGGACGAACGCUGGCGGCGUGCUUAACACAUGCAAGUCGAACGGAAAGGCCCUUCGGGGUACUCGAGUGGCGAACGGGUGAGUAACACGUGGGUGAUCUGCCCUGCACUCUGGGAUAAGCCUGGGAAACUGGGUCUAAUACCGGAUAGGACCGCAUGCUUCAUGGUGUGUGGUGCAAAGCUUUUGCGGUGUGGGGUGAGCCCGCGGCCUAUCAGCUUGUUGGUGGGGUAAUGGCCUACCAAGGCGACGACGGGUAGCCGGCCUGAGAGGGUGACCGGCCACGCUGGGACUGAGAUACGGCCCAGACUCCUACGGGAGGCAGCAGUGGGGAAUAUUGCACAAUGGGCGCAAGCCUGAUGCAGCGACGCCGCGUGAGGGAUGACGGCCUUCGGGUUGUAAACCUCUUUCAGUAGGGACGAAGCGAAAGUGACGGUACCUACAGAAGAAGGACCGGCCAACUACGUGCCAGCAGCCGCGGUAAUACGUAGGGUCCGAGCGUUGUCCGGAAUUACUGGGCGUAAAGAGCUCGUAGGUGGUUUGUCGCGUUGUUCGUGAAAACUCACAGCUUAACUGUGGGCGUGCGGGCGAUACGGGCAGACUAGAGUACUGCAGGGGAGACUGGAAUUCCUGGUGUAGCGGUGGAAUGCGCAGAUAUCAGGAGGAACACCGGUGGCGAAGGCGGGUCUCUGGGCAGUAACUGACGCUGAGGAGCGAAAGCGUGGGUAGCGAACAGGAUUAGAUACCCUGGUAGUCCAA